ACGGCUCAGUAACACGUGGAUAACCUGCCCUAAGGAAGGGGAUAACCCCGGGAAACUGGGGAUAAUACCCUAUAGGUUACAGAUGCUGGAAUGCUUUGUAACCCAAAGUUCCGACGCCUUAGGAUGGAUCUGCGGCCGAUUAGGUUGUUGUCGGGGUAACGGCCCAACAAGCCAGUAAUCGGUACGGGUUGUGGGAGCAAGAGCCCGGAGUUGGAUUCUGAGACACGAAUCCAGGCCCUACGGGGCGCAGCAGGCGCGAAAACUUUACAAUGCGGGCAACCGUGAUAAGGGAACCUCGAGUGCCUGUAUAUGCAGGCUGUCCAGGUGUCUAAAACACACCUGAAGAAAGGGCCGGGCAAGACCGGUGCCAGCCGCCGCGGUAAUACCGGCGGCUCGAGUGGUGGCCACUUUUAUUGGGCUUAAAGCGUUCGUAGCUGGGUUGUUAAGUCUCUUGGGAAAUCUGACGGCUUAACCGUCAGGCGUCUAAGAGAUACUGGCAAUCUUGGAACCGGGAGAGGUGAGGGGUACUUCGGGGGUAGGGAGUGAAAUCCUGUAAUCCUCGAGGGACCACCUGUGGCGAAGGCGCCUCACCAGAACGGCUUCGACAGUGAGGGACGAAAGCUGGGGGAGCAAACCGGAUUAGAUACCCGGGUAGUCCCAGCCGUAAACGAUGUGCGUUAGGUGUAUCGGUGACCACGAGUCACCGAGGUGCCGAAGGGAAACCGUGAAACGUACCGCCUGGGAAGUACGGUCGCAAGGCUGAAACUUAAAGGAAUUGGCGGGGGAGCAC
rnacentral:rRNA from 1 species